rnacentral:rRNA from 1 species
UAGGGAAUCUUCGGCAAUGGGGGCAACCCUGACCGAGCAACGCCGCGUGAGUGAAGAAGGUUUUCGGAUCGUAAAGCUCUGUUGUAAGAGAAGAACGUGUGUGAGAGUGGAAAGUUUACACAGUGACGGUAACUUACCAGAAAGGGACGGCUAACUACGUGCCAGCAGCCGCGGUAAUACGUAGGUCCCGAGCGUUGUCCGGAUUUAUUGGGCGUAAAGCGAGCGCAGGCGGUUUAAUAAGUCUGAAGUGAAAGGCAGUGGCUUAACCAUUGUUCGCUUUGGAAACUGUUAAACUUGAGUGCAGAAGGGGAGAGUGGAAUUCCAUGUGUAGCGGUGAAAUGCGUAGAUAUAUGGAGGAACACCGGUGGCGAGAGCGGCUCUCUGGUCUGUAACUGACGCUGAGGCUCGAAAGCGUGAGGAGCAAACAGG